rnacentral:lncRNA from 1 species
AUUCGAGAAAAACCCGAUAAAAGUUACGUCACAAAAAUGAGUAGAGUUCAACACGUUUUCGCGUCAAUUAAUGCAUUUUAUCAAUUAACACUACAUUAUUGGGACAAUAAAUGAAUGAAGAGACAAACGUCAUUUAUCAAGCAUGCAUUGUAACAUUUCCGUGUUAAAUUGUCAUUUCGUUUCGUUAUCAAAUAACUGACAAUUUAUCGCCCUUUGUAUCAACACGCCAUUUGUAAACAUGACAGGUCGUGAGAAAGGAAACUCUUAAACAGUUGUCUGACGAUUAAUUUAAAAGGGAUAAUGAAUGGCAUUGCGCGAUUUACAGAUCAACUUUUGAUCAACAACUGAGGAACAUCUGGCAUAUUGCUAUGUCCUUUAACAAAAAAGGAUUUCUCAAGGCAUGCCUACAUACCAGUCAUGUUGGAAGAGUUUGUGGAAUGGCUGAAGGAUGAAAGAAUUUCCAGAAAAAUAAAAUUCUUUAUGAAUUUGUGAAUGGAAAUGAAACCCAAGGAACUAAUAUAUUUGCUUACCAUCCAGUUGAAAGUAUGCCAAUGAAAUAAAGUGCAACUGUCACAGAAGUGCACAAAAUAAGGUCAUGCUUUCUGCAAAAGUUCACCAAGCUGAUUCAAACUACAAAUGGGAGUCAGUCAAGAAAAAAGUAAAACUAACUGAACUGUCACAGUUCAACUGUGAGAAAUGUUUGGUAAUAGUAUGUUUUGUUGCCAGAACAGCAGUGAAGUGGUUAGAGUAAAACUGUCUUAAUUGUUUAAGCAAUACAGAAUAUUUUGUUUAAAACUUACUCCAUGCAUAAAAUAUCUUGAGUGCUCUUUUUUUAUUUAAAUGAUCAUACAGUUUCAAGAAAUUUGACAAUAAAUGCAACUUUUGUUUUUAUAAGAAAAUAGUUCAUUGUUGCCAUGGUAUUAAACAUAAAUCUGACUAUAAAUUAUUGUAAAACAUCUUUCAUGUUUAUGUGUUCUAUUUGUUAAAAAAAUCAAUGUAUGGUCAUAUUCUUUUCUAAGUAAUAACUGCAUCAACAAAACAUUAUGUUAUCAUAUGAAUCUGCCUUAAACUAGCAAGAGUUGUAACUGUGCCGUGUGUAUCAGAAAAUUAUGUAAUGUAUAUCCCAUACAGUGUCACAUCAGUUUACAUGAAAUGAGGUUUUCUUACUUUUGAAUAUGAAAGUAGACAGCUUUCGAUGUAAAUAGUAUUUUGAAAAACACUUUAACAUAUUCAAUUUUUUUCAAGAACUUGAUAGAAAUGGUACUUUUGGUAAGAAAAUACAUCAUUGUUGCCAUGGUAACGAAUCACUGAUCAGUAUGACAUCUGUACUACUACUUUAAGCAAAAUCAGUUAUAAUAUUUCUAAAAAUUAUUUCUUUUUGCCUAAUUUUCUGUCUAACAGUUACAAAGAAAUAUGCCAAUGAGUCAAGUGUUCUAACAACAAGGUUAAUGUCCUAGUUUUGUCAUGCUAUCUGACUCGAUAUCCAGUAAAGCUAUUUUUGUACAAAAGAAAGCCAUAAGAUUUUUGCAAAAAAACUGUUAUCUUUAAAAUCUGUUGGUACACUAGAAAAUGUUGACAGUAUAUUAACUAUACUUUCUAGAUGUUAAUUUUGGCUGGAUUUACCAAGGAACUAUUAAAAUUGGAUUUAA